rfam:Clostridium sp. CAG:780 genomic scaffold, scf62
GGGGAUGUAUUUGGCUUUCGACAGUAUCCCAGAAGUAUGUGUAGCGAGUAGUGGAUGGCUGCUUCGGCCACUAUAAAAAAGCAGAACUAAAUAUAAACGCUGAUAAUAAUAGAGAAUUAGCAUACGCUGCCUAAGCUUAGGCGGCUCAUCUUACCAAGAAGGCCUACGGUCUUGGAUAAGGUGUCAACUAGUAGGAUAACAAAGCUGUUUUAGCUAUUAAAGCAGUAGGUAACUUAAAUAGCUACUAUAAAAACACGGUUGUUUGUUAAUGUGUUUUCAUAGGAAAAUUAAAUAACAAACUACACUCGAAGAAUCAUAUAUGGAAAGAAUAUUGGACAGGGGUUCAACUCCCCUCAUCUCCACCA